rnacentral:rRNA from 1 species
GUGAGACAGGUGCUGCAUGGCUGUCGUCAGCUCGUGUUGUGAAAUGUUGGGUUAAGUCCCGCAACGAGCGCAACCCUUAUCCUUUGUUGCCAGCGAUUAGGUCGGGAACUCAAAGGAGACUGCCAGUGAUAAACUGGAGGAAGGUGGGGAUGACGUCAAGUCAUCAUGGCCCUUACGACCAGGGCUACACACGUGCUACAAUGGCGCAUACAA